rnacentral:sRNA from 1 species
CCAGCAUCUAGCCCGACGGGGUGAAAAGCGGAUACCUUCAACCGCCUGAUGCUGGAACUUCUUUGAGGG